AGUGAACGCUGGCGGUAGGCCUAACACAUGCAAGUCGAACGGCAGCACAGUAAGAGCUUGCUCUUACGGGUGGCGAGUGGCGGACGGGUGAGGAAUACAUCGGAAUCUACUUUUUCGUGGGGGAUAACGUAGGGAAACUGACGCUAAUACCGCAUACGACCUACGGGUGAAAGCAGGGGAUCUUCGGACCUUGCGCGAUUGAAUGAGCCGAUGUCGGAUUAGCUAGUUGGCGGGGUAAAGGCCCACCAAGGCGACGAUACGUAGCUGGUCUGAGAGGAUGAUCAGCCACACUGGAACUGAGACACGGUCCAGACUCCUACGGGAGGCAGCAGUGGGGAAUAUUGGACAAUGGGCGCAAGCCUGAUCCAGCCAUACCGCGUGGGUGAAGAAGGCCUUCGGGUUGUAAAGCCCUUUUGUUGGGAAAGAAAAGCAGCAGGUUAAUACCCCGCUGUUCUGACGGUACCCAAAGAAUAAGCACCGGCUAACUUCGUG
rnacentral:rRNA from 1 species